rnacentral:tRNA from 1 species
GUCUGGAUGGCUCAGUCGGUUGAGCAUCUGACUUCGGCUCAGGUCGUGAUCUUGCGGUUCGUGAGUUCGAGCCCCGCGUCGGGCU